rnacentral:rRNA from 1 species
CAAUGGGCGCAAGCCUGAUGCAGCCAUGCCGCGUGUAUGAAGAAGGCCUUCGGGUUGUAAAGUACUUUCAGUCGUGAAGAAGGUGUUAGGGUUAAUAACCUUAGCAAUUGACGUUAGCGACAUAAGAAGCACCGGCUAACUCCGUGCCAGCAGCCGCGGUAAUACGGAGGGUGCGAGCGUUAAUCGGAAUUACUGGGCGUAAAGGGCACGCAGGCGGUUAGUUAAGUUGGAUGUGAAAUCCCUGGGCUUAACCUAGGAAUGGCAUUCAAAACUGGUUAGCUAGAGUCUUGUAGAGGAGGGUAGAAUUCCAUGUGUAGCGGUGAAAUGCGUAGAGAUGUGGAGGAAUACCGGUGGCGAAGGCGGCUCUCUGGACAAAGACUGACGCUCAUGUGCGAAAGCGUGGGGAGCAAACAGGAUUAGAUACCUUGGUAGUCCACGCUGUAAACGAUGUCGAUUUGGAGGUUGUGGUCAUGAAUUGUAGCCUUCGGAGCUAACGCGUUAAAUUGACCGCCUGGGGAGUACGGCCGCAAGGUUAAAACUCAAAUGAAUUGACGGGGGCCCGCACAAGCGGUGGAGCAUGUGGUUUAAUUCGAUGCAACGCGAAGAACCUUACCUACUCUUGACAUCCAGCGU